GGGUUGUGAGGUUAAGCGACUAAGCGUACACGGUGGAUGCCUAGGCAGUCAGAGGCGAUGAAGGGCGUGCUAAUCUGCGAAAAGCGUCGGUAAGCUGAUAUGAAGCGUUAUAACCGACGAUACCCGAAUGGGGAAACCCAGUGCAAUACGUUGCACUAUCGU
rnacentral:rRNA from 1 species